AGUGAACGCUGGCGGUAGGCCUAACACAUGCAAGUCGAACGGCAGCACAGGAGAGCUUGCUCUCUGGGUGGCGAGUGGCGGACGGGUGAGGAAUACAUCGGAAUCUACUCUGUCGUGGGGGAUAACGUAGGGAAACUUACGCUAAUACCGCAUACGACCUACGGGUGAAAGCAGGGGAUCUUCGGACCUUGCGCGAUUGAAUGAGCCGAUGUCGGAUUAGCUAGUUGGCGGGGUAAAGGCCAACCAAGGCGACGAUCCGUAGCUGGUCUGAGAGGAUGAUCAGCCACACGGGAACUGAGACACGGUCCAGACUCCUACGGGAGGCAGCAGUGGGGAAUAUUGGACAAUGGGCGCAAGCCUGAUCCAGCCAUACCGCGUGGGUGAAGAAGGCCUUCGGGUUGUAAAGCCCUUUUGUUGGGAAGGAAAUCCAGCUGGCUAAUACCCGGUUGGGAUGACGGUACCCAAAGAAUAAGCACCGGCUAACUUCGUGCCAGCCGCCGCCGUAA
rnacentral:rRNA from 1 species